rnacentral:rRNA from 1 species
CUGAAUAACUACGCAGAUCGCUUCGGUUUUCAUACCGGCGACGUAUCCUUCAAGUGUCUGCCUUAUCAACUUUCGAUGGUAGUUUCUACGCCUACCAUGGUUUCGACGGGUAACGGAGAAUUAGGGUUCGACUCCGGAGAGGGAGCCUGAGAAACGGCUACCACUUCUAAGGAAGGCAGCAGGCGCGCAAAUUACCCACUCUCGGCACGAGGAGGUAGUGACGAAAAAUAACGAGAUAACCCGCUAUCGCGAGUUAUCAUCGGAAUGAGAACAAUCUAAAUCCUUUAACGAGGACCUAGCGGAGGGCAAGUCUGGUGCCAGCAGCCGCGGUAAUUCCAGCUCCGCCAGUGUAUAUCUAUGCUGCUGCGGUUAAAAAG